rnacentral:tRNA from 1 species
GGAACGUAGUUUAAUGGAUAGAAUAUCGGUCUUCGAAACCGCGGGUGUGGGUUCGAUUCCCGCCGUUCU